UACGUAGGGGGCAAGCGUUGUCCGGAAUCAUUGGGCGUAAGCGCGUGUAGGCGGCCCGGUAAGUCCGCUGUGAAAGUCGGGGGCUCAACCCUCGAAUGCCGGUGGAUACUGUCGGGCUAGAGUGCGGAAGAGGCGAGUGGAAUUCCUGGUGUAGCGGUGAAAUGCGCAGAUAUCAGGAGGAACACCGAUUGCGAAGGCAGCUCGCUGGGACGUAACUGACGCUGAGAACGCGAAAGCGUGGGGAGCAAACAGG
rnacentral:rRNA from 1 species